ensembl:lncRNA
CCAGUUCCCGUUAUUCAUGUUCCUGUUUUACAUGUUAUAGAACAGAGAUUGAUUAAUGGCACAUGUCAUUACGUCCCCACACCACGCCAUCCGACGUUCCCUCCAGAAUUUCGAAAUACAGUUCGUCUUCGUUAUGGUACCGUAUACAGUUUUGGGUGUUUUUUAUUUAAAAUUUUACAAAAGCUUCAAGUGCAGUUAAUUAUUUGUCAUGCUAUACAUGCAAUUGGACGACUGCUUGAAGCCGUGGGCUGCGUCCAAAACCACGUACUUACCUGCUAUAUAGUAGCUGAGAUACAUGUAUUUCACCUACUAUAUGCAUGUAUUUCACCUACUAUUUAGUAGGUGAAAUACCUGUAUAUAGUAGAAUACGUGUAUAUAGUAGGUGAAAUACACGUAUAUGGUAAAUACAUGUAUAUAGUAGGUGAAAUACAUGUAUAUAGUAGGUGAAAUACAUGUAUAUGGUAGAAUACGUGUAUAUAGUAGGUGAAAUACAUGUAUAUAGUAGGUGAAAUACUUGUAUAUAGUAGAAUACGUGUAUAUAGUAGGUGAAAUACAUGUAUAUAGUAGAAUACGUGUAUAUAGUAGGUGAAAUACAUGUAAAUAGUAGAAUACGUGUAUAUAGUAGGUGAAAUACAUGUUUAUAGUAGGUGAAAUACACGUAUUUCGGCUACGAUAUAGUAGGUGAAAUACAUGUAUAUGGUAGAAUACAUGUAUAUAGUUGGUGAAAUACAUGUAUAUAGUAGGUGAAUUACACGUAUUUCGGCUACGAUAUAGUAGUUGAAAUACGUGUAUAUAGUAGAAUACGUGUAUAUAGUAGGUGAAAUACAUGUAUAUAGUAGGUGAAAUACAUGUAUAUAGUAGAAUACAUGUAUAUAGUAGGUGAAAUACAUGUAUAUAGUAGGUGAAAUACUUGUAUAUUAGGUGAAAUACUUGUAUAUGCAAGCAUUUCACUUGCUAUAUACAAGUAUCUCGUCAGCAAAAACUUCCCCAUAUCAACAGAUACACGUUCUGUAAAGCCGUUUAUGUGGAGUGUCUAGCCUACAAAUCCCUGCGCAGAUUGUAUCUAAAGAAACAGUGACAAUCUACAGCAAUAAUAUAAACCUGUAAUUUGCCUUGUAGCCCGAGCUACUGUCAAAGCUGCGGUUAUAGAAAUAAAUCUCAACACCUUCCGACCAAUCGGAUUUGAGAUUUCGACAGGGCUAUAAUAAUGUAAUAAUAAUCAGGUUUCGUCGUGUGUCUUAGUAAUGAUAUAUCGACUCAGCCCUAGUUCGGUUUUCCGUUUUCGUUUAAUGCUCUUAGCAUACCAGUGUGGUUCAUUAUAAUGUGCCAUCCAAACACUGUCAUAAAGUUUUUGGCUAUGGAUGGCUCACAGCACUGGGAAGUGAUGUGUAUGUGUGUGUGUGUGUAUGUGUGUGUGUGUGUGUGUUAAUUAGAGGUCGUGCAGGGAGAGAGGCUUGAGAUUCCACACACUCAAGGCCUCUGAAUCAAACAACCUGGUGCUUUUUGGUGGUUUUUUUUGCACUUUCAUGCCAACUGGUAUCAAUCCAGCACCAGUGGAGCAAAAUGCUCAGGACACGGUCUUUAUAAUGAGGUGUAGUUGCACACUGAGUCACCA